rnacentral:tRNA from 1 species
CACCGGACCGGCCGGCAGGCCCCGUUCGCUGUGGUCCGACGCCUGGCGUGACCUGCGCCGCAACCCGGUGUUCCUGAUCUCCGGUCUGGUGA